UACGUAGGGUGCAAGCGUUUGUCCGGAAUCAUUGGGCGUAAAGCGCGCGUAGGCGGCCCGGUAAGUCCGCUCUGAAAAGUCCAGGGCUCAACCCUGGAAAGCGGGUGGAUACUGCCGGGCUAGAAUCCGGAAGAGGCGAGUGGAAUUCCUGGUGUAGCGGUGGAAUGCGCAGAUAUCAGGAGGAACACCAAUAGCGAAGGCAGCUCGCUGGGACGGUAUUGACGCUAAGGCGCGAAAGCGUGGGGAGCAAACAGGG
rnacentral:rRNA from 1 species